CUCUACUGUUCAGGUUAAUGAAAUAAUUUUAAAAGAGUCUUAUUGCCUUAUUUGGGUCUUCGUGUCUUGAUUUUAUCAUCUGGCUCCAAGGCCAGCCCAACUUGGCGUGUGUUCUCUGCUGAGCAUGUUUCAAAAUAACAGAGCCUGUGCUAGUGCAGUUUACGCCGAAAGUCAAGAGUCCGGCAGACUCGAAUCUUUCCUGAAAUUCAUCUAUUUCAUGUCCUGUCAAGUCCACUGCAGUAUUCAUAGAUGAUCAGAAUUUCUGUGUUGCUCCUCACUCCAACAUCUACAGUACAGCUGCACAGAUUAAGCUGUGCUAGCUCCUGAUUGCCUUCGCCAAGAAACAAGAAGCAUAUAAGUUGUUUCUGGCCAAAGAAGAAGUAAGAACACAGUGCUUCUGCUUUCUAAAGAAACAAUUUACAUCAGAAUUACCUCCCAGGAUAAUAAGUUACCAGAAAAUUGCCUAAUACUGUUAUAUAUUAAAUUGUUUUAUAUCA